UGAAUCAAGAGGUGUGAGCCGAGUUAAGGGGGUCGGCUAAGAAGAAUGGAGGUUUAAACUUAUUUCACUUGUGACCACGUGGCUAGCAAGGAAUUAACUUCUCCAAGGAGAGCUUUGUUACCUACCAACGGAUACUUAGAGACCACAGAAAGAAUCUCAACUCCUCUAAUAGUACUUCGUUAGGAAUGAGAUACUUGGGCGCAGGAAUUAACAUUUGCAGCCCUAUCCGUAUUACUCUUACAAACUCUGCACCACGUUUUGUGCCCCUUUAUUUUCUUCUGUCAAGAACGUUUAAACUUUCCUUUCCAGGCACAGUUCUCUGUAGUUUGCAUAAAAGUUUUAGCAAGUAAGCAACAAAAUUAAGCAAUUUUAUGACUUGAGGAUUGAAUCGAUACACUGAGGAUGGUGGAGGAGGAAGACAGGAAAAGCUGCAGGCCCUCUAACUUUGUAGAGCUGCCUAUCAGCUGCCUGACUCCAUUUAAGUAAGAGAAUAAAAAUCCUAAUUCCUUCAAACUACUGUAGUAACGUCUUUUUAACCAGCAGCUGGCAAGUAAUUCCUGGUGGAUUCAAGGAAAUUUAUACUAUUUUUAAGCUCUCUGAAAACUGAACCUCCCUUAUUACACGUAAGUCUUCUUUUUACCUCUCUCCAUUUUAUUUUCCUUCUCAUGUUCAAGUGUGUGAAUGAAGCCAGCCCAAUUCCAAUCUCUCCAUGCUCCCAGUCUUAUCUCCCCAGUCCAAACUCCACACUCUUGCCUACAUUAUCUUCUGAAAACACCCAUCAGCCAUGUGAUAUAGUAAUUAAAGUCUGUAAUCAGAAAAAUCUAUGUGUUAUUUCUUCUCUGAAACCAGAUGUUUGAUGUAAAACAAGUCAGCCUCCCUAGCUUCAAUCUCAUGGGUAAAAUGGGAAAGAGAAUGCCUUUCUGAUACAAUUGCGCUCAGAAUUAAAUUAAUAUAUGUAAAGAAGUUGGCACAUGGAAAGCUACUAAGGUAGGCUAAUGGGAUUGUCAUUCCCCAAUUAAAUCCUUAGGGAAAUUAUGAAGAGAAUUUUUGAAAAACAAAAUGGAGACAUAAAAAAGAACAGAAAAAUUAGAAAGCUGUACUGUAUUCUUGAACAGCAAGGCUUAAUAAAAUCAACCUCUCCCCAAGUAACAUAUGACAUAGCCUCUGCCUGCACACAUAACAGUGUAUUGCUGGAUUUUGACUACAUUCAAACAUGAGAGUUUAAUCAGAUUUUACCCAUCCUGAUAAAAGUGCCAUUAAAGUAAAAAUCCUGGAACUGUUCCUUAAAAAACAAUUUGUAAGUGUACAAUUCCAUGAUUUUAGUAAAUUUAUGCAGUUGUGCAACCAUCACCAUAAUCUAAUUUUAGAACAUUUCCAUCACCCCCAUUUUGUUAUUUCUUGCACUUACCCAUAACCUUAGGGAACCACUGUUCUGCUUUCUGUCUAUAAAUUUGUCUACAUUCCAUGUAAGUGGAAUCCUAACAUGUAGUCUGUUGCGACUGGCUUCUUUCAAUUAGCAUAAUGAUUUUGAGGUUCAUCCAUUUUUGUAACAAUUUUUUUUUAACA